UGACGUUUCGGCUACCUACACGGCGGCCAUUAUCAAAGACUAAGAUAAUUGUAAAAAUUUUUUGUAACUGUAAUAUGUCUUUGAUAAUGGCCGCCGUGUAGGUAGCCGAAACGUC